rnacentral:lncRNA from 1 species
CUCCACGGACAUCUUGCAGCAGAGGGCCUGACGAGUGCGCACCGCCGAGCAGUUGGUGUUGAUGACACGGUCGCCUGCGAAUCAGAGACGGGAAGCACGCACGUAGAGGAUGGCACUGGGGUUGGGGUAAGGCCUGUGCCCCACCUGCCCCCAAGGGCCAGGGCACAACGUGGCUGUCUGACAUGCCUGGACACCUUGCCUGGGUCCAACCACAGCCCUAGCCCUCACGCGCUGACCCUGCUGGUGCCACCGAGGCUGAAGCAGGCGGCCAUCGGUUGGGAUCUCUUGAGUGGAAACAGGACGGAGGCAGCUCGCCCUGACCUGGCCUGGAAGGGCGGAUUCCCUGCUGGCGCUUCUUCAGGGGACGUGGCACUAGCCCCACGCCCCGGGAAGCGGCUAGUGUGAGAGGCUGGUGGGGAGCAGAGCUUGGCUGGCAGGGUGGGCCCUCCGCAGGCCCGGCACAGCGCCCCACGCGCGCGGCUCAUGCGGCCGCCGGGACCCCCGGCGCUGCGAGCGGAGAACCUGGCCGGAGCCGUGGGUGGGCGGCGGCCCCUUU